AAAUUAUUCAUCAUUAUUUAUUUUGUUAAUAGGAAACAUAAUCCUAGGGUUCAAAGUUCAAAACAUGGAAAACAGGACAUGGUAUACAGUCAGAAGUCUUCUUUCCUGCCCCCAGAGGCCCACUUCCCCAUCUAGAGGGUAAAACGCUAACCCUGAAUCUUUCCUAGCUGUGUCACACCUACCUAUGUACACACGUGUGUGCUUCCUGCUCAGCUCACAGUCUUCAAAUAGGAGUUGUCCACACACAGCCCCAGCUUGCUGGCUUCAGUGACCCAUUUCCCCUGUCCUGGAGAUUGUUCCCCUAACCUGGUGUAAUGGUGAAAAGCCUGGGCCCUGGAACUGGCUGCUUGGGUCCAGAUCCUGUCUGGGGAUCCCUUUUCCAUUCACCAGCUGUGGGACCUUAGCAAGAUCAUCUCUCCUCUUUUUGCUUUGAUUUUCUCACCUAUAAUUUGGGAUAAUAGUAAUCACACACACUCACACACACACACACCUCCUGUAUUAACUUUUCAGUGACCUCUAACUUGACAGGAGGUCAAAGGUCUCUGAAGAGCCAAGUCAAAGCCUCCCCAGGGAGUGCUCAUAUCCGGAGGUUCCAGACUCAAUCCACUCCCAGGCUGUUCAGGUGGUUGGCAGAAUUUGAUGCGAUUCCUGGGGUCAUCCACAGCUCCUGGAAGCUUCUCUCUGAUCUUGACACAUGAUGGUCCUACCUUCAAGCCAGAAGUAGCACAUCAAAUCCUGCCUGUCAUCUCCCUGGUUUCCCCUUCUGCCACCAGUCAGAGAAAACUGUGCUUUUAAAGGGCUCAAGUGAUUGGAUUAGAC
rnacentral:lncRNA from 1 species